rnacentral:rRNA from 1 species
UACAGAGGGUGCAAGCGUUGUUCGGAAUCAUUGGGCGUAAAGGGCGCGUAGGCGGCCCGUCAAGUCCCGUGUGAAAGCCCCCGGCUCAACCGGGGAACGGCGCGGGAAACUAGCAGGCUUGAGUUCGGGAGAGGGAAGCGGAAUUCCGGGUGUAGCGGUGAAAUGCGCAGAUAUCCGGAGGAACACCGGUGGCGAAGGCGGCUUCCUGGACCGACACUGACGCUGAGGCGCGAAAGCUAGGGGAGCAAACGGG